GGACAAAGGCUUCUUGGAUAUCCGAAUUUGAUCGCCUCAGUUUGAAUCUGGGCUCUCUGAUUGGUUGAUAAAAUGGCGGGAAUUAUAAAUUACACAGAUAAUCGCGCUUUCGGGUGUCAAAUUCCUUCGAGAAAUUCGUAAUUUGAUGUUAAAGUUGGGA